ensembl:lncRNA
AGCUGUGUGUGUGAGGCUGUGUGUGUGAGGCUGUGUGUGAGGCUGUGUGUGUGAAGCUCUGUGUGUGAGGCUGUGUGUGUGAGGCUGUGUGUGAGGCUGUGUGUGUGAGUCUGUGUGUAGUGAAGUGUGUGUGAGGCUGUGUGUGUGUGUGUGCGUUCAGAUGGAUGGAAACUUAACAGCAUGUGGUUGAGUUAUCCCCCCUCCCAGACCCAUCAGCCCAAGGCCUUGCUGAAUGUAAUGUCAACAGCACCAUCAUUGUUCCCUGCAUCACAGUCAACAGGUGUCAGAUGGACAUGUCAGUGCUGGGCUGCUGGCAGAGAUAAUGGUGCUAGGCUGCUGGCAGAGAUAAUGGUGACAUGUCAGUGCUGGGCUGCUGGCAGAGAUAAUGGUGCUGGGUUGCUGACAGAGAUAAUGGUGCUGGGCUGCUGGCAGAGAUAAUGGUGCUGGGCUGCUGACAGAGAUAAUGGUGCUGGGCUGCUGGCAGAGAUAAUGGUGCUGGGCUGCUGGCAGAGAUAAUGGUGCUGGGCUGCUGGCAGAGAUAAUGGUGCUGGGCUGCUGGCAGAGAUAAUGGUGCUGGGCUGCUGACAGAGAUAAUGGUGCUGGGCUGCUGAUAGAGAUAACAGUGACAUGUCAGGGCUGGGCUGCUGGCAGAGAUAAUGGUGCUGGGCUGCUGGCAGAGAUAAUGGUGCUGGGCUGCUGGCAGAGAUAAUGGUGUUGGGCUGCUGGCAGAGAUAAUGGUGCUGGGCUGCUGACAGAGAUAAUGGUGCUGGGCUGCUGAUAGAGAUAACAGUGACAUGUCAGUACUGGGCUGCUGACAGAGAUAAUGGUGACAUGUCAUUGCUGGGCUGCUGACAGAGAUAAUGGUGACAUGUCAUUGCUGGGCUGCUGACAGAGAUAACAGUGACAUGUCAGUGCUGGGCUGCUGGCAGAGAUAAUGGUGCUGGGCUGCUGACAGAGAUAAUGGUGCUGGGCUGCUGACAGAGAUAACGGUGACAUGUCAGUGCUGGGCUGCUGACAGAGAUAACAGUGACAUGUCAGUGCUGGGCUGCUGACAGAGAUAACAGUGACAUGUCAGGGCUGGGCUGCUGGCAGAGAUAAUGGUGCUGGGCUGCUGACAGAGAUAACAGUGACAUGUCAGUGCUGGGCUGCUGACAGAGAUAAUGGUGCUGGGCUGCUGACAGAGAUAAUGGUGACAUGUCAGUGCUGGGCUGCUGGCAGAGAUAACAGUGACAUGUCAGUGCUGGGCUGCUGUCAGAGAUAAUGGUGCUGGGCUGCUGACAGAGAUAACAGUGACAUGUCAGGGCUGGGCUGCUGGCAGAGAUAAUGGUGCUGGGCUGCUGACAGAGAGAACAGUGACAUGUCAGUGCUGGGCUGCUGACAGAGAUAAUGGUGCUGGGCUGCUGACAGAGAUAAUGGUGACAUGUCAGUGCUGGGCUGCUGGCAGAGAUAACAGUGAC